GAGUUUGCCUCAGAUCAGUUCACCAUGCUCUGUCUUCUUAAUGAUUUUAGGACAAGAAAAAUAAUUCUUGGGAAGGCCUUUCUCAACUUUCUGACUUGAUAAAAUGCUCCUCAACCUUCAGUGGAACAAGUGAUGGGAUGCAAGCUAUGUAUUCGCUAUCCAUGGAUUGUGCUAGAAGGCAGUCAGACCCUUACCUUAAGGGCUACUGAAAGGUGUGCAUUCAGACCUACCAGGAACCAUGGGAGCUGCUGUAGAUCCAGACUGCCUGGAUCCCGGAUCUACCACUCACAGCUCUUAAGCUCCAUGCCUCUGUUCCUCAUCUGUAAAAUGGGAUGCCGAUAAUUGUGCCUACUGCACAAGUCUAGACAAAGCGCUUCAGAUAUAGAAGCAUAUAGAAAACAGGGAAUCAAUAUUAAUUCAUUAUUAUUAUUAUCAGAACUUAGAGACUAGCACAAAUUACUGAAAAUUAAACUAAUAAUGAAAGGCAUGCUAUCAAUUACCUCAGAAGUGCAGGCUGUUUGGAACAAUAUGUUAAAGAAUUUAUAAAGCUGGGGUGCCUGGGUGGCUCAGUCAUUGGGCGUCUGCCUUCGGCUCAGGUCAUGAUCCCAGGGUCCUGGGAUCGAGCCCCGCAUCGGGCUCCCUGCUCCGCGGGAAGCCUGCUUCUCCCUCUCCCA